UGAAGAAUGGGUCUUGCGGCCCUAUCAGGUAGUAGGGGGGUUUCACGUCCCCCUAAGCCAUACACGGGUACGGGCUUUUGAAAGCAGUNGCCCGAAGAUGGAUUUUUAAGACACGAAUCCAGGUCNUACGGGACGCAGCAGGCGCGAAACCUCCACAAUGUGGGCAANCACGAUGGGGGAACUCCAAGUGUGUNCACUAUGUGUAGUCUGUUCUCAAGCCUAAAAAGCUUGAGAAGUAAGGGCCGGGUAAGACGGGUGCCAGCCGCCGCGGUAAYACCSGCGGCCCGAGUGGUGGCCGCUAUUAUUGGGCUUAAAGGGUCCGUAGCCGGACCAGUUAGUCCAUUGGGAAAUCUUACGGCUUAACCGUAAGGCUGCCAGUGGAUACUGCUGGUCUUGGGACCGGGAGAGGCAAGAGGUACUUCAGGGGUAGGAGUGAAAUCCUGUAAUCCUUGAGGGACCGCCAGUGGCGAAGGCGUCUUGCUAGAACGGGUCCGACGGUGAGGGACGAAAGCUAGGGGCACGAACCGGAUUAGAUACCCGGGUAGUCCUAGCCGUAAACGAUGCGAGCUAGGUGUCACGUGGAUUGCGAAUCCAUGUGGUGCCGUAGGGAAACCGUGAAGCUCGCCGCCUGGGAAGUACGGCCGCAAGGCUGAAACUUAAAGGAAUUGGCGGGGGAGCACAAGGGCGAAUUCCAGCACACUGGCGGCCGUUACUAGUGGAUCCGAGCUCGGUACCGAGGCUGGCGU
rnacentral:rRNA from 1 species